AAAACAACCUGUGCACCUCUCACAGGAGCAGCCAGAUGUACCAAGACUGUGGCUCAGGAGUCGGCUCAUCUCGAGGUCCAGCGUUCGACGCCACUUUCUCCAAGAUGCACCUGUGAACCGAGGCGGAAAGAUGCCACGCACCAAGCAGAACAACCCGAAGAAUUUAAAAG